rnacentral:rRNA from 1 species
UUGAACGCUGGCGGCAUGCCUUACACAUGCAAGUCGAACGGUAACAGGUCUUCGGAUGCUGACGAGUGGCGAACGGGUGAGUAAUACAUCGGAACGUGCCCGAUCGUGGGGGAUAACGCAGCGAAAGCUGUGCUAAUACCGCAUACGAUCUACGGAUGAAAGCGGGGGAUCGCAAGACCUCGCGCGGACGGAGCGGCCGAUGGCAGAUUAGGUAGUUGGUGGGAUAAAAGCUUACCAAGCCGACGAUCUGUAGCUGGUCUGAGAGGACGACCAGCCACACUGGGACUGAGACACGGCCCAGACUCCUACGGGAGGCAGCAGUGGGGAAUUUUGGACAAUGGGCGAAAGCCUGAUCCAGCCAUACCGCGUGAGUGAAGAAGGCCUUCGGGUUGUAAAGCUCUUUCAGCCGGAAAGAAAUUGCUUCUAUUAAUACUAGGAGUAGAUGACGGUACCGGAAGAAGAAGCACCGGCUAACUACGU